rnacentral:rRNA from 1 species
AUGCACGCUGGCGGCGUGCCUAAUACAUGCCAGUCGAGCGAACAGACGAGGAGCUUGCUCCUCUGACGUUAGCGGCGGACGGGUGAGUAACACGUGGAUAACCUACCUAUAAGACUGGGAUAACUUCGGGAAACCGGAGCUAAUACCGGAUAAUAUAUUGAACCGCAUGGUUCAAUAGUGAAAGACGGUUUUGCUGUCACUUAUAGAUGGAUCCGCGCCGCAUUAGCUAGUUGGUAAGGUAACGGCUUACCAAGGCAACGAUGCGUAGCCGACCUGAGAGGGUGAUCGGCCACACUGGAACUGAGACACGGUCCAGACUCCUACGGGAGGCAGCAGUAGGGAAUCUUCCGCAAUGGGCGAAAGCCUGACGGAGCAACGCCGCGUGAGUGAUGAAGGUCUUCGGAUCGUAAAACUCUGUUAUUAGGGAAGAACAAAUGUGUAAGUAACUAUGCACGUCUUGACAGUACCUAAUCAGAAAGCCACGGCUAACUACGUG